ensembl:lncRNA
UGGGCCAUGGGGGGCCAGAGGGGUCGGGGAGACACGGGGAGGGGAGGAGACAGGACGGCGCGGUGGGGAGCCAAGUGCCCAGGGCUCUGGCCGCAGCCUCGCGCCCCCGCAGCCCCCUUUCCCUCCCCUUUGACCCUCGCACUCCGAAAGCUUUUCUUCUCGGCGCGUCCACGCGCGCAGAGUUUAAUCCGCGCGCGCCCCUGGCGUCGGACAAGGGUCUGAUUGGCGACAACGCCAUGUUGAGGUCUCGAGCAGCUUGAGGUGGGCGUUCCAAUUGGAGCCCGGCGGACGCCGCCCCGGGACUGACCGCGCCAAACCCGGGAGCCGGCAGGCGUCGGGGGUGGAGGGGCCCGCUGCACCUCUGCCCGCGGCCCCGCCCUGUGCCCGCCCUCGGCCGCGGGGGCGAGGUGGGUUCCUGUCUGCGCCCCAGUGUCCGGCGUGUGUCGGGACGUGGGGAGCGCGGUCGACACUGUGGGCGUGGACACCGCGCGCUGGACAAAGGCUCACUUCCUCCGCUUCCGGAUGAGUCCAUCCCCACCACAAAUCUCCACUCUGCGUAGACCCGACUCGAUCCACUCUUUUCGUGGACUCUUUUGAGGUUUCUCCAAAUAAGAGCCGUGUGCCAGCAUGCACCCGCGCCCAGAACCCCGCCUGCAGGCCCGGCCCCGCUUCCGGUGCCCGGGUGACCGCGCAGGUGGGCGGUGACUGCGCAGGUGCUGGCGGGGGGCGCCAGGGAGGAAUCAGCUCUCGGGUCCACACCUCCGGAGCCUCCGGCAGAUCCCACGAGGGUCACACCUUUCCUUACACCUCCAAAGGUUUCUUCUGGAUCUCUUACUUCUUCCACUAAUUUAGCAUGAAAGAAACGGGAAGCACGCAGCGGCACGCACAGGCCAGCCUUCUCUAUUUCGCGCUCUCGAGGGAAACAGGAAAGGACUCUGCCUUGUGUCUCCGGCAAGUUUUGAGGACGAAUAAGAUAAAAGUACUGAGAAAGUUAGUGUCUGGAACCACGUGAACUCAUUCUACAUGAACCACGUUCGGGUAUUUUCGUCAGAGGCAAACACCUUCACGUUGCAAGAAUACACAGGGGUGCCCGCCGAGUUCACCGCCUGCGGCACAGACUGUGAAGAAAAUGCGCCCUCAGCUGUUCAAAGCAAUGAAAAUACGUGUUUAAUUAGCUGAGAUAACAUAUUUGUGAGAGAAAAAAAACCCACAUUCUUACAGACCAAAUAGAGUGCUGAUCAUAAGUGUUUUCAGACAAAAUGAGCGCUUCACGGGUGUUCUCAUAUCUCUGCAUAAUUUUGGACUAGAUAUAAUUUCUCGUUCCAGUGGGUUUGAGGAAAAGGGCUCAUUGAUGCUGAGGUGAAGGCAGAGAAAGGGCUCCGAAUUUCUGGAAGAGAAUCCAGCGCCCUGGUUGGGGUCCAGCGAUGCCCACCCACGCAGGAGCCGCAGGCUGUGGAACCAGACGCCCGGUGCAGAUGCUUCCUCCCGCCGGCUGUGCGACACUGGGCCGCCCAACUUCGUGCCUCAGUUUCCUCACCCCAUGGUGUUGUAAUGACUAUUAACAGAGCUGGGAUGCUGCCUGCAGAGCGAGCCACAACGUGGGGGUUGAGGACGACGACCACGACGAUUUUCACGCAGGAUUUAUCUACUUCUGUGUCCACGGCGUUGCCUAGAGCAGCACCCAUGUUUUCUUCUGCCUGGUUACUGAUGAAAGGUGCUCUCAUCCUUCGACGGUUUUCU